rnacentral:rRNA from 1 species
CAAUAGCGUAUAUUAAAGUUGUUGCAGUUAAAAAGCUCGUAGUUGGAUUUCUGGUGGGAGCGAUCGGUCUGGCGCUUAGCGCGAGUACUUGCAUCGUCUCCGGCCAUCCUUGGGGAGAGUCUGUCUGGCAUUAGGUUGUCGGGCAGAGGAUCCUCAUCGUUUACUGUGAAAAAAUUAGAGUGUUCAAAGCAGGCUUAUGCCGUUGAAUAUAUUAGCAUGGGAUAAUAAGAUAGGACUUUGGUACUAUUUUGUUGGUUUGCGCACCAAAGUAAUGAUUAAUAGGGACAGUUGGGGGUAUUCGUAUUCCGUUGUCAGAGGUGAAAUUCUUGGAUUUACGGAAGACGAACUACUGCGAAAGCAUUUACCAAGGAUGUUUUCAUUAA